rnacentral:rRNA from 1 species
UACAGGGGGUGCAAACGUUGCUCGGAAUCAUUGGGCGUAAAGCGCACGUAGGCGGUCUGUUAUGUCGGAUGUGAAAGCCCUCGGCUUAACUGAGGAAGUGCAUCCGAAACUGGCAGGCUAGAGUACUAAAGAGGGUCGCGGAAUUCCCGGUGUAGAGGUGAAAUUCGUAGAUAUCAGGAGGAACACCAAUUGCGAAGGCAGCUCGCUGGGACGUUACUGACGCUGAGACGCGAAAGCGUGGGGAGCAAACAGGG